rnacentral:rRNA from 1 species
UACAUGCAACAAUGCCCAACCCUCACGGGAAGGGUGCACUUAUUAGAUCAAGACCAACCGGGUUUCGGCUCGAAGUUUUGAUGACUCUGGAUAAUUGUUUCGAUCGCACGGCCUUUGUGUCGGCGACGUUUCUUUCAAAUGUCUGCCCUAUCAACUAUAGAUGGUAGAUAAAUUGUCUACCAUGGUGAUAACGGGUAACGGGGAAUCAGGGUUCGAUUCCGGAGAGGGAGCCUGAGAAACAGCUACCACAUCCAAGGAAGGCAGCAGGCGCGCAAAUUACCCACUCUCAAAACGAGGAGGUAGUGACAAUAAAUAACGAUGCGGGACUCAAUCGAGGCCCCGUAAUCGGAAUGAGUACACUUUAAAUCCUUUAACGAGGAUCAAUUGGAGGGCAAGUCUGGUGCCAGCAGCCGCGGUAAUUCCAGCUCCAAUAGCGUAUAUUAAAGUUGUUGCAGUUAAAAAGCUCGUAGUUGGAUCUAAGGAUUUGGACGGAUGGUACGCUUUAGGGUGUCACUGUCUGUCUGGCCUAUAUUAGUCGUGGAAGCCUUUAGUGCUCUUCAUUGAGUGCUUUGGGUGCCCGACGCAAUUACUUUGAGAAAAUUAGAGUGCUUAAAGCAGGCAUAAUGCUUGUAUACUGUUGCAUGGAAUAAUGAAAUAGGAGUUUGCUUCUAUUUUGUUGGUUUUCGGAAGUGAACUAAUGAUUAACGGGGACAGACGGGGGCAUUUGUAUGGAGGCGAUAGAGGUGAAAUUCUGUGACCGUCUCCAGACAAACUACUGCGAAAGCAUUUGCCAGGAAUGUUUUCAUUAAUCAAGAACGAAGUCAGAGGUUCGAAGACGAUCAGAUACCGUCCUAGUUCUGACCAUAAAUGAUGCCAUCUAGUAAUUCCCGAAGUUUGCUUGUACGAACUUGGGAGCGGCCCCCGCGAAAGCAAAGAUUUUGGGUUCCGGGGGAAGUAUGGUUGCAAAGCUGAAACUUAAAGGAAUUGACGGAAGGGCACCACCAGGAGUGGAGCCUGCGGCUUAAUUUGACUCAACACGGGAAACCUCACCCGGCCCGGACACUGUAAUGAUUGACAGAUUAACAGCUCUUUCUUGAUUUGGUGGUUGGUGGUGCAUGGCCGUUCUUAGUUGGUGGAGUGAUUUGUCUGGUUAAUUCCGAUAACGAACGAGACUCUACCCUGCUAAAUAGUACGCAGAUAAUAAUUCUGUCUGUGCUGACUUCUUAGAGGGACUAACGGCGUUUAGCCGUGUGAGAAAGAGCAAUAACAGGUCUGUGAUGCCCUUAGAUGUUCGGGGCCGCACGCGCGCUACACUAAUUACAGCAACGGGUAUGCUCCUGGUUAGAAAUGACUGGGUAACCCGAUUGAAUCGUAAUUGUGACAGGGAUCGAGGUUUGCAAUUAUCUCUCGUGAACGAGGAAUUCCCAGUAAGCGCAAGUCAUUAGCUUGUGCUGAUUACGUCCCUGCCCUUUGUACACACCGCCCGUCGCUACUACCGAUUGAACGGUUUAGUGAGGUCCUUGGAUUGACUGUA